rnacentral:rRNA from 1 species
GCGCAGGAAAAGAAACCAACAGGGAUUGCCUCAGUAACGGCGAGUGAAGCGGCAAAAGCUCAAAUUCGAAAUCUGGCGGUUUUACCGUCCGAGUUGUAAUUUGUAGAGGUAGCUUUGGGUAUACAGCCUGGUCUAUGUUCCUUGGAACAGGACGUCAUGGAGGGUGAGAAUCCCGUAAAUGGCUUGGCCAGUGCCUAUGUAUAGCGCCUUCAACGAGUCGAGUUGUUUGGGAAUGCAGCUCUAAGCGGGUGGUAAAUUCCAUCUAAAGCUAAACACUGGCGAGAGACCGAUAGCGCACAAGUAGAGUGAUCGAAAGGUGAAAAGCACUCCGGAAGGAGAGUUAAACAGCACGUGAAAUCGUUGAAAGGGAAGCGCUUGAGACCAGACUCAGGCAGGGUUGAUCAGUCUCCAUUCUUGGUGAUGCACUCUUCUCUGUCCGGGCCAGCAACAGUUUUGACGGUGGUAUAAAGGUUUAGGGAAUGUGGCACUCUUCGGGGUGUGUUAUAACCCUAUUCGUAAUGCUGCCAGUUGAGACCGAUGACCGCGCUUCUGCUAGGUUGUUGGCAUAAUGGUCUUGAACGACCCAUCUUGAAAUACACACCAAGGAGUCUAACAUCUAUGCGAGUGUUUGGGUGGAACGGCCAUACUCGAAAUGAAAGUGAUCGCAGCUGCAAUCGCGCUCGGGGAGGGCAUCGAUGGGGGCUGAUGUUGGCGGCUCUAAAUUGGUAAGAGACCCCCCAGGUGCGCGGCCUGCAUGUUUGGAAAGGGGGGCGACAGUUUUACUGCCGUGGAGAAAGUGAAACCCCCCAGAAAGAAAGACGCACCGAGACAGCUCUACGCACAG